GUGACUGACCUAUUACCAAAUCAGAAUGGAAGGAAGAGCACUGCCCCUUUCUGUUAAGAUUUACCACUCUGGACUCCAGAAUUUUGCUUGAGGAGUGCUCAUCCAUGUGGACCUGCCAGCUCACAGUCCAGCUGUGAUGUCUUGGCGUCAGCUCCUUGACAACGACCAGUAAGAAGACUCAUUAUGAAGCAGAUGCCAGAUGGUGAAUUGCAGAUUGUAUUUCAGUUUCUUCAUUCACU